GACGAAGGAUGCAAGCGUUAUCCGGAUUCAUUGGGUUUAAAGGGAGCGUAGGUGGUCUUAUAAGUCAGUGGUGAAAUCUUCUCGCUUAACGGGAAAACUGCCAUUGAUACUGUAGGACUUGAGUAUAGUUGCUGUGGGCGGAAUAUGACAUGUAGUGGUGAAAUACUUAGAGAUGUCAUAGAACACCGAUUGCGAAGGCAGCUCACAAAACUAUAACUGACACUGAGGCUCGAAAGUGCGGGGAUCAAACAGGAUUAGAAACCCCAG
rnacentral:rRNA from 1 species